GCGCCACUNGGCGGNUCGCCGCCGAUGACGUCGCGAGAAGUCCACUGAACCUUAUCAUUUAGAGGAAGGAGAAGUCGUAACAAGGUUUCCGUAGGUGAACCUGCGGAAGGAUCAUUG
rnacentral:rRNA from 1 species